rnacentral:tRNA from 1 species
GCGGGUGUAGCUCAGUUGGUAGAGUGCCUGCUUCCCAAGCAGAAGGUCACGUGUUCGAGUCCCGUUACCCGCU